ACGAACGCUGGCGGCGUGCCUAAUACAUGCAAGUAGAACGCUGAAGGAGGAGCUUGCUUCUCUGGAUGAGUUGCGAACGGGUGAGUAACGCGUAGGUAACCUGCCUGGUAGCGGGGGAUAACUAUUGGAAACGAUAGCUAAUACCGCAUAAUAGCAGUUAUUGCAUGAUAACUGUUUGAAAGGUGCAAUUGCACCACUACCAGAUGGACCUGCGUUGUAUUAGCUAGUUGGUGGGGUAACGGCUCACCAAGGCGACGAUACAUAGCCGACCUGAGAGGGUGAUCGGCCACACUGGGACUGAGACACGGCCCAGACCCCUACGGGAGGCAGCAGUAGGGAAUCUUCGGCAAUGGACGGAAGUCUGACCGAGCAACGCCGCGUGAGUGAAGAAGGUUUUCGGAUCGUAAAGCUCUGUUGUAAGAGAAGAACGAGUGUGAGAGUGGAAAGUUCACACUGUGACGGUAUCUUACCAGAAAGGGACGGCUAACUACGUG
rnacentral:rRNA from 1 species